GCGGGCAUAGCUCAGCGACAGAGCAGCCGGCUUUUAACCGGCAGGUCGAGAUUUCGAAACUCUCUGCCCGCA
rnacentral:tRNA from 1 species